ACAAGGAUGAUCGAUUGGCUGGUGGAAAUUGAAAGUGAGUCCGCGGACGCUCAAGAACAUUUGGAAGACGAAAGUGUAAAGAAAGUGGAGGAGGAAGUCAGGCUGGAGUUGUCUGAAACACUCUCUGGACAAGAACUGGAUAUGGCAG